AUUUAAAUAGCUUAUAAUUAGAGCAUAACAUUGAAGCUGUUAAGGAGGUUAAUAUAAUCUUUAAAUA
rnacentral:tRNA from 1 species